GAUUUCUGGCGAACCGAUGCGACCCGUGCUCGUAUCGGGCGUGUGUGCCGCGUCGAGUUUGUCAUCCUUCCAGAGAGCUGCGUCUACCAUUUACUUGGCCGGACGUACGCGAUCUGGAUCGAUUACUUUGAAAAAAUUAGAGUGUUUAAAGCAGGCUUAUGCUGUGAAUACAUUAGCAUGGAAUAAUAAUUUAGGACUUCGGUCCUAUUUUGUUGGUUUCUAGGACAGAAGUAAUGAUUGAUAGGGACAGUUGGGGGUGCUAGUAUUCCGCGGCCAGAGGUGAAAUUCUUGGAUUCGCGGAAGACUAACUACUGCGAAAGCAUU
rnacentral:rRNA from 1 species